rnacentral:rRNA from 1 species
UAACGUACGCUGGCGGCACGCCUAACACAUGCAAGUCGAACGAAGUAGCAAUACUUAGUGGCAGACGGGUGAGUAACAUGUGGGUAUCUACCCUUUGGCCUGGAAUAACACGAGGAAACUUGUGCUAAUACCGGAUAAGUCUUUACGGAGAAAGCUUUAUGCACCAUUGGAUGAGCCCGCACUUGAUUAGUUUGUUGGUAGGGUAAUGGCCUACCAAGACUAUGAUCAAUAGCUGAUUUGAGAGGAUGAUCAGCCACAUUGGGACUGAGACACGGCCCAAACUCCUACGGGAGGCAGCAGUGGGGAAUCUUGCACAAUGGAGGAAACUCUGAUGCAGCGAUGCCGCGUGAGUGAAGAAGGCCUUUGGGUUGUAAAGCUCUUUCGUCGGGGAAGAAAAUGACUGUACCCGAAUAAGAAGGUCCGGCUAACUUCGUGCCAGCAGCCGCGGUAAUACGAAGGGACCUAGCGUAGUUCGGAAUUACUGGGCUUAAAGAGUUCGUAGGUGGUUGAAAAAGUUGGUGGUGAAAUCCCAGAGCUUAACUCUGGAACUGCCAUCAAAACUUUUCAGCUAGAGUAUGAUAGAGGAUAGCAGAAUUUCUAGUGUAGAGGUGAAAUUCGUAGAUAUUAGAAAGAAUACCAAUUGCGAAGGCAGCUUUCUGGAUCAUUACUGACACUGAGGAACGAAAGCAUGGGUAGCGAAGAGGAUUAGAUACCCUCGUAGUCCAUGCCGUAAACGAUGUGUGUUAGACGUUGGAAAUUUAUUUUCAGUGUCGCAGGAAACCGAUAAACACACCGCCUGGGAGUACGACCGCAGGUUAAA